AAAAGGGAAAUGAGUGUAAUUCUCAUACUGUACCAGCAACUGUAAUGUGGAUUAACAAUAAAAUAUGCCAUUAAAACAUUAGUUUUUGAGAAGGCUUAUUGUUAAAAUGAAACUAAGUCAGGAGACCU
rnacentral:ncRNA from 2 species